rnacentral:rRNA from 1 species
UACGGAGGGUCCAAGCGUUAUCCGGAAUCAUUGGGUUUAAAGGGUCCGCAGGCGGGCAAUUAAGUCAGGGGUGAAAUGGUACGGCUCAACCGUAGCACUGCCUUUGAUACUGGUUGUCUUGAGUUGUGGUGAAGUGGCCGGAAUAUGUAGUGUAGCGGUGAAAUGCAUAGAUAUUACAUAGAACACCGAUUGCGAAGGCAGGUCACUAACCACUAACUGACGCUGAUGGACGAAAGCGUGGGGAGCGAACGGG